GAAAAGGUGAAGUUAAUAUCCUUAGUGGGAGGGCUUGUAGUUGUGUAGAAGAACCAGAUGUCACUGAAGCACAUAUCAAAGAGGAAGGGGAAGGUAACAUUAGUGGGAGAGCUAGUAGCCAGAGAGAGAGACUUGGUUCCACCAAGAAACAUAAAAAAGAUAAAGGUGAAAAUAAUAUCCCUAGCAGGAAGGUUAGCAGUCACAUACAGGAACCCGAUGUCAUCAAAUCACUUAAGAAAGAUAAAGGUGAAAGGAGCAUUAUUAAUGUGAGUAUUAGUAGUCAUGUGGAGAGACCUGGUUUCACCGAGACACACAACAAAGAUGGAAGUGAUGUUAACAAGAGUAAUGGAAAUGCCUAUGAGAGUAAAUUGGGAAUUAGUUACACAGAAGCUCCAGAAAAGGGGAGAACCAUUACUGGGAUUAGAUUUAAAGAUGGCAAAAAUGAUUUGACAGAAAGAGGUACCAGUUAUAGUAAAGCCCCUGGAUAUGGUGCCAAUGUUAAGACCAGCGCUAGAGUUCCCACCACAAAGACAGAAAACAUUAGUCACAAGUAUAUUAGGGGCAAAGAUGCUACUCGACUCCAUGCAUCUCAAGACCACAGUGAGCAUAUUAAUAAACUUAAGAAAACUGAUGAAAUUCAUACUUUUUAUGUCCUUGGUAAUGAUGGAAAUGUUAUAAAGACUAAUGAAAAGAGCAAGAAGAACAAUACUGGAACUGACAGACAAUACACAGCCAAGGCACAUCAAGGGAGUGAUAGAGUCCUAAGGAGAAAGGGCAUUCGUCAUGAUAAAAAGGACCAGUCAGCUAAGAGCUUUCGUGGCAACAAUGACGACAGAAGCCCAUCGUCUGACAGUCAAAAUUCAAGCAGGAGUGAUAGUCACCAGUCCUAUGAGGUUUACCAGAAUGAUCAGCCUGGCAGUUACCAAUCAGCUCAAGGUAUUCAGGAUGAGGCAUAUGGUCUCUCAGCUGAGAAUAAUCAGUGACAACCAUAGCCAGAUGGCAGAGCAAGAGACUGAUUAUUCUCAUGAGCACUAGCCAACAGGAACAGUUUCAUUUACUGAGGUAUCAUUUCUGGGAACCAUGUUCCAUAAGCCCGCAGGUCUCACACU
rnacentral:lncRNA from 1 species